rnacentral:rRNA from 1 species
GACGAACGCUGGCGGCGCGCUUAACACAUGCAAGUCGAGCGACGCGGCGGACGGGUGAGUACCACGUGAGUAACCUGCCUUAGACCGUGGGAUAGCCUCGGGACACCGGGCUUAAUACCAAAUGGUCUAAGAUGGACUCGCGUCCCAUUAGCUAGUUGGUGGGUAACGGCCCACCAAGGCGACGAGGGGUAGCCGGCCUGAGAGGGGUAACGGCCACAUGAGAACUGAGAAACGGUCCAAACUCUACGGGAGGCAGCAGUGGGGAAUAUUGCACAAGGGAGGGAACUCUGAGGCAGCGACGCCGCGUGAACGAAGAAGGCGUUCGAGUCGUAAAGUUCUUUUAUAUGGGAAGCGGUACCAUAAGAAAAAGCCCCGGCUAACUACGUGCCAGCAGCCGCGGUAAUAC